UCGGGAAUUUUGCGCAAUGGACGAAAGUCUGACGCAGCAACGCCGCGUGAGGGAUGACGGCCUUCGGGUUGUAAACCUCUUUGUCAGGGACGAUGAUGACGGUACCUGACGAAUAAGCCACGGCUAACUACGUGCCAGCAGCCGCGGUAAUACGUAGGUGGCAAGCGUUGUCCGGAUUUACUGGGCGUAAAGAGCGCGCAGGCGGUCGUUCAAGUCGCGUGUGAAGCCCCCGGCUCAACUGGGGAGGGUCACGCGAUACUGAUCGACUCGAAGGCAGGAGAGGGUAGUGGAAUUCCCGGUGUAGUGGUGAAAUGCGUAGAUAUCGGGAGGAACACCAGUGGCGAAGGCGACUACCUGGCCUGUUCUUGACGCUGAGGCGCGAAAGCUAGGGGAGCAAACGGGAUUAGAUACCCCGGUAGUCCUAGCCGUAAACGAUGGACACUAGGUGCGUGGUGGUAUCAACCCCGCAGUGCCGAAGCUAACGC
rnacentral:rRNA from 1 species